CAAGCUAGUUCGUUACACUGAUUACUUAGCGAUCAAUGAUCUAAAAUGUCUAAAUUGUUUCAACUAAAGGUGUAGGGGAAUUACAAAAACUCCAAAAAAGGGGGUCCAGAAAAUUUAAGAGCCUUUAAUGUUACAAACUCAGUCUCUAAGCCAAAAACUAGUUUCUUCUAAAGCCAGAUGUGUUUCCUGAUUCAAGCUCCCAUCCAUCAUUUCCGCCCUGCAGACACAGAAGGACCUUACCACCUAUUAUUAGGCGGCUUCACCUUGUAAAUACGGACGAUCCAAUUAGAUGUUGUGAAAGCUUCUUCCAAGUAUUCAAGUUUAACAUCCUUAUUUCCAAUUUCAACACCCCUUGCACGAUCAUACCCUGCAGGCUUGCCAUAUUCUGUUAUCAGUUCUCCAAAUCGAUAGUAGGAUAGCUUGUACAUAAGACAAUUCAACAUCUUGGGGGCUGCACCUUUGUCAACACGAUACUCACCAUUGACAAGGUAAUCAGGUUCCUUAAUUACAGGAAAUACUCCACCUCCAAUUCUUACCAUCCACAAAAACUUAUUGAUAUCAUCAGAAGAGUAACCAGUAACACCCCCAAAGACAACUAAUACAUAAUCCACAUCAAGGGAUCUCAUUAUCUCAAAUGCUUCAUCCUCAUAAGAUGACAUUGCACGUCCAACAGUAGCAAUGUGGGUAUUGUUCCAGGUAUUAUUGUCGACAAUAACCGUUCUGUUUCCCAUGGCAGUGAUUUGGUAUCCAUAAUCCCACCAUGACAUCACCUUAGCAUCUGGAGGUGAUCUGGAGGUGUAUUUUGCCGUAGCCAAAAGUAUGCUUCACGGUAAUCAUCAAAAAUGACCCUGUUGCCAUGUGCACCCCUUGCAGCCAAGACAAUUGAGGGAGAUGAGUAUGCCUCUGACGUCACCCAGGUACAGUGCGUAGCAUACUUACUGAGCAAGUAAAAUGCACCAAGAAGCAAUGCCAUAGCACCAUUCCUUUGAAAAGGCUGAGAGUGAUCAAGCAAACCCUUAGAAGAAGAUUUUGCACUGCUAGUUCCUUUGGUAGAACCGAUUUGGGCAACUUUGUUCUUUGACCUUAACAACACUGUCAAAUUCUUUAUCGUGGCAGAAACAGCAAUGGCACUAAUAAGGCAAACGGCGGGGGUAGCCACAAGAAUCAACCGAACCAUAACACCAGCAAAAUACAUACUA
rnacentral:misc_RNA from 1 species